rnacentral:lncRNA from 1 species
AUGUUUAGCAAAACUCAAUGAAUUUAAUUUUCAUUGACAUGUUUAUUUUUUAAUGAGCUGAAUAUUUACAAAUACUUUUUUUUUCUUUUUUGUUUGCAAUGGAGUCUUACUCUGUUAGCCAGGCUGGAGUGCAGUGGUGCGAUCUUGGCUCACAGCAAGCUCCACCUCCUGAGUUCACGUCAUUCUCCUGCCUCAACCUCCCGAGUACCCGGGACUACAGGCACCUGCCACCAUGCCCGGCUAAUUUUUUUGUAUUUUUAGUAGAGGUGGGGUUUCACUGUGUUAGACAAGAUGGUCUCGAUCUCCUGACCUUGUGAUCCGCCCACCUCAGCCACCCAAAGUGCUGGGAUUACAGGCGUGAGCCACCGUGCCUGGCCUACAAAUACUUUUACAGUGGAAAUGAAGUUGUAUUAAAGAAAAAUAAGAGUGAUUAGAUUUGGCUAAAGAAAAAGUAAACUGUUUCUUUAUAAUAUUUUUUCCCAGGUUUAUUUUGGGUGUUCCUCCAGAUGCCAAUUAAUUUUAUAGGGUUCCUUUUUGUCUGUCAGUUGAGAUUGAAUGACGGACUUUUAGAACUGGAGAGCCAACCUCCUCUUAUCCUCCAUCACCUUUAUAGACAGGUUAUUGCAGCAAAUCGACUAGGAACUGCAGCAUCAUUUGUUUUUUGUGGUCCAGUGAUUUCAAGUCAAGUGAGCAGGGUAUUAAUCUGUUCUCUUCUCACCAGCUCUGUGACCUUGGACAAGUUAUUUGAAACCUGUCUCUAUACUUUACUAAUCUACAAAAUGGAGCCAAGCAAGCUUACCUCACGAGGACUGACUGAUGAUGAUAGCCAUGCUCCAGUGAGUGCCAGCUUAUGUUAGACACCAUGUAAAGUGCUUUACCCAAAUUUUCCCAUCUUCAAAACAGCUCUCCAGAGUAGGCUGUUAUAUCAUCAUUUGUAUAUAUUAGGACACUGAGACCCAUAGAAGUUUCUCUAGCUUUUGAAGUCAGACAGGUUUUGAACCCAGAUGUCUGUGGCCACAAAGGGAUGGUCUUGUGGAAUAUGACAGUGCUUUCCACUAGGUUUCAAAUAUUGCCUGUAAUCUACCUUUAUGGUUGAUGACAGUGUAAACCACUUAUGAGUUUCCUUCACCUGUUGGACUCUGUCCUUUGACCCACCUAUUUCUUUUUACAGCUCUAGUCUUUAAAGCCAAGUUGCCAAGUUAUCCUAUCAUUUGGUCCAGGCUUUUCAUACUUUCCAUGGUAGUAGUUAAGAGACUACUAGACUUUAGACUAAAGACUAUAGACUUUAGAAUUAGACUACAGACUUUAGACUAAAGACUAUAGACUUUAGAACUAGAAUGCCCAGGUUCAGAUUCCAGCUUCACAGCUCAUAGCUGUGUGGCCUUCAGCAAGUUACUUAACUUCAGUAUGUCUGUUUCCUCAUCGGUAAGAUGGAGAUAAUAGUACCCAUGUGAAGGUUGUUGGGAAAAAUUAAGUGAGUUGUUUUAAUCAAAGCACUUAGAACACUGCUUGGAACAUGGUAAGAGCUAUAUCUGUGUUGGUUAUAUAGUAGUCUGGGUUGUGAGGUCUCAGCAUGAUGUUCCCUCUCUAAACUCAUUCAAUGUAUGACAUAUAAUUAUGGUUUUCUUUCCUAACCUUCAGUUGUCAUCUUUAAACAUUUUAUUUUUGUGGUUUCAGGUACGGUGUUAGUUACCUAGGCAGACAGGUAACAGCUUGAUACCUUCUUUCCUUAAAUGUACAUUGCACUGUAACUUGGUCCAAUGUUCCUUAGACUCCUUUGGCAAAAGUGUUAAAAAGAUUCUUUUCAAGUCAUAUACGUUUGUGUCAUUUGUGUGCCACAUAAACUUGGGAACUGCAAUAACCUAUAAUAUCUGCUUGGGAAUUUAUAAUAAAUAUGAGCAAAUUUACUUCCCUGAGAAUUCCAAGAGAAAAUGAAUGAGUUUAAUUUUGUUUAAAAUAGUGCUUCCUAAAUUAUUUUCCCAAUUCACCCUUCUAUUUAUUAAGAAAAUACCCACACAGUGUUGACAAUACUUGUCUAGUGAGCUCUGACUUUUGUUAGUAAGAGAAUGCCUGAAGAAAGUCCUUAGGAAAACCUGUUUUAAAUAUUGACCCUAUAGGAUUUCUAUUUUUGUAGCAAACUAAAUUAUCAGAAGGCUAAUUGUUAGCUUACCUUGAUUCAGAGUAUUGCAGAAUCACCAACACCAUGUUGCAUUUUAAACUUAUGAGCUCUAUUUAUGCUGAAUAUAGAGAUAAGAAACAGUAAUUUGAAAUUCAUUUGAGAUAUUGUGCUCCAUCAUGUCGAGAACAUUGCCUUUGCUGUGGACUAAAGUCACUAUGGCUUGAAUAUGCCCCCCAAAGUUUAGGUAUUGGAUACUUAAUCCCCCAUGCAACACUGCUGGAACCUAUAAAAUGUGCUAGGUCACAAUGGCUCUGGUCUCAUCAGUGGAUUAAUUAUUGAUGAGAUAAAUUAUUAUGGGAGGAGCUUAGUUACCUUAGGGGUGGAUUCUUGAUUAAAAAAAUUGGGGAUAAGCAUAGCCCCUUUCUCUCUUGAUCUUGCUUGAGUGUUCCCUUGCCCUUCCACUGUUCAUUAUAUGAUGAUGCAGCAAGGAGGCUCUCACUAGCUGCGGCUUGGACUUCCCAGCCUCCAGAGCCACAAGUAAAGUACAUUUUUCUUCUUGAUAAAUUACUCACUUUCAGUUAUUCUGUUAUAGCAGCAGAAAAUAGACUAAGAUCUCUUUUACAUAUAAUCUUCUACACUGAAUUUUAUUUUAUAUGCUUGUUGGGGAUGAUUUUGUUUCCCUUGAAGAACCAAUAGAAAUAACAGUUUCCUCCUUUCCUUUCUGAUGAGAAUCUUUUUACAGCAGAUUCUAAGAAGCUCACAGAAAUAGUUGAAACCUCAGCAGGACAACUUUGUUGUUCUUAGAUUUGACAUUUUUAUAUUCUUCUUUUCUCUGGUCCUAGUUUUCUAUUUUUAUGUAAAUAUUUGAUGUCAGUUUCUUUUAUUAUAAGCCACCUCAAGAUCUUUGUGGAAAGAUGUAUGCAUAUAAUAAACAUAAAUAUAUUAAACAAGAACCACUUUAAAAGUGAAACACUGCUAUCAAAGCAAGCAAUUGCAAUGUAAGUUUCUGUGAGAGCUAAGUACAAACUCAGCAGCUCAGAAGAAUUCAGUGGUGUGAGUUGGGGAAAAAUGGAAGAUUCAGAGAGGAUCUAACAGGUGAGCUGCAUGCUGAAGGAUAAGACAAAGGGUUUCUUAUAAAGAGAAUUAUAUCUAUAUAGGCAGAGAAGCUGGAAAGUAUAUUUGCAGUAUAUUUAGGGAUUGGCUGGUAUUGUGGCAGAUCUGAAACACAGGGUUGUUGGGAGCAACAAAGCAGAACUAUUGAGUAGUAUUGAGUAGAGCUUUGUAUUGUGUAGUUCCUUCUUAUUUCCAGAGUGAUUAGAAACAUGCCCUCAGAGUCAUGGUGACUCUUGGGUACUAGAAGAGCUCUAUCUCCUCUAACCUUUGGUGGUGCUAUUUUGUCUGAUACCUUUUUGGUAAACUACCAUGACAGUGGUUUGUAAUCUCCAAGAUAGGGGUUAAAUUUUCAAAAGAGGUAUUAAUAGGAUGCAUUGGAGAGGAUGUACAUAUUAUAAAACAAUGAGUCAUAAGUGACCUGUGGCUGUAUGAAAUGUCCUGGGCAGAAAUUAUAUCAUAAUAGCAACUUUUGGGUUUAUUUUCAUCUGAUGCUGCUUUAUCUGACCUUAUACAUUGCCUUACCAUAACCCAUCAAAUAGAUUUUGUUUAUUAAAGGAAGUUAAUUGGCUGUGCCAUUCUGUGC